GCCGGGCACGGUGGCUCAUGCCUGUAAUCCCAGCAUUUUGGAGGCCGAGGCAGGUGGAUCACCUGAGGUCAGGAGUUGAAGACCAGCCUGACCAACAUGGAGAAACCCUGUCUCUA
ensembl:misc_RNA Metazoa_SRP Metazoan signal recognition particle RNA